UUGUUGACAAAAGGCGACUGAAGUAAACAAAUAGCUCUGAAAUGUUUUUUCAAUGUUUAUGUCUGUCCAUGCAGACAUGCAGCUAUUGUGUGUGUAUGUGUGAUACAUUUUUAUUGAACCAUUAAGAAGUGAAAUGUGUUUAGCAUGUUAGUCUAAGGUGUUUCUAUUUUAUUUUUGUUCAGCACAUAUUUUGGUUGUGGGAUUAUUGCUUAAUGUACACUUUGCUAUUAGAUAUAUAUUUUGCCUUGUGUGUAGUAGCGUACUCCAUUUUUUUUGUUUAUUAAAAUACAAUAUCUCAACUAAU